GAUCCUGGCUCAGAUUGAACGCUGGCGGCAGGCUUAACACAUGCAAGUCGAGCGGGGGGAGGUUGCUUCGGUAACUGACCUAGCGGCGGACGGGUGAGUAAUGCUUAGGAAUCUGCCUAUUAGUGGGGGGACAACAUUCCGAAAGGAAUGCUAAUACCGCAUACGUCCUACGGGGGAAAGGACAGGGGAGUCUACGGACCUUGCGCUAAUAAGAUGAGCCUAACGUCGGGAGUUAGUCUAGUUUGGUUGGGGGUUAAAGGGACCGUACCCAACGG
rnacentral:rRNA from 1 species